AUCUCUCUUCUAUUCCCUUCUCUCCAUCUCUCCUCUAUCCCCUUCUCUCCAUCUCUCCUCCAUCCCCUUCUCUCCUCUAUCCCCUUCUCUCCAUCUCUCCUCUAUCCCCUUCUCUCCAUCUCUCCUCUAUCCCCUUCUCUCCAUCUCUCUUCCUUCUCCCUCUCCCCAUCUCUCCUCUAUCCCCUUCUCUCCAUCUCUCCUCUAUCCCCUCCUCUCCAUCUCUCCUCUAUCCCUUUCUCUCCAUCUCUCUUCCUUCUCCCUCUCCCCAUCUCUCCUCUCCAUCUCUCCUCUAUCCCCUUCUCUCCUCUAUCCCCUUCUCUCCAUCUCUCCUCUAUCCCCUCCUCUCCAUCUCUCCUCUAUCCCCUCCUCUCCAUCUCUCCUCUAUCCCCUCCUCUCCAUCUCUCUUCCAUCCCCUUCUCUCCAUCUCUCCUCCAUCCCCUUCUCUCCAUCUCUCCUCUAUCCCCUUCUCUCCAUCUCUCUUCCAUCCCCAUCUCUCCAUCUCUCCUCUAUCCCCUUCUCUCCAUCUCUCUUCCAUCCCCCUCGCCUCCAUUGGGGGAAAGACGUUCCCUCUCUUGUUUUCUUGCUUUGUCUUGCCUCACCACGUCACUUCAACAUCGCUGGAGUUGUCGUUGCAUUUUAAAGGACUUGUUUUAGUCAGUGGACCCCACUGCCAAACCCCAAACCGACAGCCCAGGCAUCUUGUAACGGUCCUUUGAACCAACUUAACCCAGCAAGUAGUGAAACUGGAGAGCACCAGCCAACCAACAGCCCUCUUUACAAGACCAGAGGGAUGUGGAGGAUUUUAGGUUCACAGGGUGGCAGAACUAAACCACGAGUUGGAAAGCGAACACUGCUUAAUUUUUGCGGUUUUGGUGAUGAAAGGAGAUUUUAAUGUUCUACUGUGCGAGCUGAGUUUUUAAACGACAUACUCCUACGAUGUUUUCCGGUGUUUUUUUAAAAACCUGUGUCUGUUACUAGCUGAUCCAAGUCCGUUAUUACUGAAACUCGUCAGAGUUAGCUUCCAUAGUUUUUUUCAUGCUCCGUCGCUCUCCUUUCCCUUUCUAUGCCCGACCCCUCCGUUCCGCCACCUGGUGUAGUUUGACUCCAUCCAUUUGAAAAAUAAUAUAUUUCAACUCCCCCAAAUACUUGUGCACUCGCAAGUAGUAGCUCAACUUGUGUAUCAGUGGAGGCUGCUGAGGGGAGGACGACGACUCAUCAUAACGGCUGGAACGGCGCACAUGGAACGGUACCAAACGCAUGGGAAUGUGUUUGAUGUAUUUGAUACCAUUCCGCUUCAGCCAUCACCACGAGCCUGUCCUCCCCAAUUAAGGUGCCACCAACCUCCUGUGUUGUGUAUUGCUGGGAGAAUAGGACUCCAAAGCUCUGCUGAAUCAAAACGUUGCACUUAUUUAUAUCAUUUGUAGCACAAACUGUUUUUACUUGUCUAUUUAUUUGACCACCCACUGGCCCUUCCCUCAUUCCGCGACCGAGUCGGGGUGGUGUUAUUGAUCAGGAUGACUUUCGUUCCAUUGAGGCCCCUUUUGCUCUACUGUAGUUAGAAACUGACCGAGGAUCAGAUAUCCAUGCAUAACAAACUCGCCCAUUGUACCUACUUGGAAUGAGAACUUGUAGUUCCAGAAGUGAGCUGGUUUUAACUUCCAUGUGCCUGUUGUCGCCGUACAAAUAGAUUGACUAGGAUGGGGGGGGGAGCCCCUCAGACCAUGUUGGCUUGAAUGGGAAUUACCGUUCUAGUUAUUGUAUUUCUGUGGUCGUCUCCUGUAUGCUGAUGUGAAGGACAGGAGGACUGGUGCAGAACAGCCUGUAGAUUUGUUUUAUUUCCCUCCGAGGAUGGACUAGUUAACAAACGACAGACAAUUCAACCCAACUGGAAGAAUAGAUUGUUUUUACGUGUACACGGAGGUGUACAAAACCAUUAGGAACACCUCCCUAAUAUUGAGUUGCACCCACUUUUGCCCUCAGAACAGCCUCAAUUCGUUGGGGCGUGGACUCUACAAGGUGCCGAAAGCAUUCCACAGGGAUGCUGGCCCAUGUUGACUCCAAUGCUUCCCACAGUUCUGUCAAGUUGGCUCGAUGUCCUUUGGGUGGUGGGCCAUUUCUUGAUACACACAGGAAACUGUUGAGUGUGAAAAACCCAACAGUGUUGCAGUUCUUGACACACUCAAACUGGUGCGCCUGUCACCUACCAUACUCCGUUCAAAGGCACUUCAAUCUUUUGUCUUGCCCAUUCACCCUCUGAAUGGCACACACACAAUGUUUAUCUCAUAGCUUAAAAAACAUUUUUUGGCCUGUCUCCUCCCCUUCCUCUACACUGAUUGAAGUGGAUUUAACAAGUGACAUCAAUAAGGGAUCAUAGCCUUCACCUGGUCAGUCUGUCAUGGGAAGAGGUGUUCCUCAUGUUUUGUACACUAAGUAUGUACUGUAAAUGUGUCACCAGUUUAAGCUUUGUGGGAAAGCAACUCAUUUCUGUUGCACUACUUUUUAUUUGUUAAACACUCCUUUGUUUAACCUUUGAACUUUCACCACACUGUCACUGGAUCGCUGAGGUCAGACAUUUUAUAUUGACAUUACAGAUGUGGGUAGGUGUGUCACUACCCGUCGGCAAGGCAAUGGAGCCAGAGUCUGCCUGUGUUUUUUUUUUGGGGGGGGGGGCUGAAUUUAUUGGCCUUAAGAAAUAAUUCUUAGGAAUAAUUUAGAAAGAAAGUGUGAGUAAAUAUGCAACACUGCACUAUGUCAGUGACUGGAUUUUUUUUCCUACUCUGAAUAAAAUUUUAAAACUAAAAA
ensembl:lncRNA